GGCAUACAAGGACUUAAAGGGGAAAGUAAACUGAAAAACAUUAGGACUAGGUUGGUAGAUGUGACAGAAUGCAUAAGACUCAAAGACUGGUAGGGUGGGGUAACCAAGAUCGCUGUGUAUGUCUAAAAGGCAGUCAGGGGAAAGGCUAGUGAGUAAUCCCCUUGGUUUGGACCCCUCUGUAUAUCUAGCUUGGGGGCACCUUGAGGAAGACAUUAGGGAGAGGGAGGCUGGGAUUAUAUCCUCACCAGCCCUUUGUUCAGGCUGUGGUGUUCCCGCCAUCACACCUGCACUGAGCUACAACCAGAGGAUUGUCAACGGGGAGAAUGCAGUGCCAGGCUCCUGGCCCUGGCAAGUGUCUCUGCAGGUACACACCCUAGGGGUGGGUCAGGGUCCUGGGUGCUUUAGGCCUAAGGGUAACUUAAGCCCACUCAUGAAUCUGACUUUUGACCCUAGGAUAACACCGGCUUCCACUUCUGUGGUGGUUCUCUCAUUGCCCCAAACUGGGUGGUCACGGCUGCCCACUGCAAAGUCACGUGAGUGUAUUCCACUCACCCUCCCCAAUCCAUCUCUUCCCACUUCCCCUCCCUUGGAUGCCCCCUCCAAAACCACUUAGCAGCUACCCAGUCUCAUUAUCCUUGCAGGCCUGGACGCCACUUUGUCAUUUUAGGAGAAUAUGACCGAUCUUCCAAUGCUGAGCCUAUACAGGUGCUCUCCAUCUCGAAGGUAAGUGCUGGCU
rnacentral:lncRNA from 1 species